rnacentral:rRNA from 1 species
GGACGAACGCUGGCGGCGUGCCUAACACAUGCAAGUCGAACGGGGCCCGCAAGGGUUCAGUGGCGAACGGGUGCGUAACACGUGAAGAAUUUGUCCAACGGCGGGGGAUAGCCGGCCCAACGGCCGGGUAAUACCGCGUACGACCGUCGAGGGGCAUCCCUCGACGGUGAAAGCCGCAAGGCGCCGAUGGAGAACUUCGCGGCCUAUCAGCUAGUUGGUGAGGUCAUGGCUCACCAAGGCGACGACGGGUAGCUGGUCCGAGAGGAUGACCAGCCACAUUGGGACUGAGACACGGCCCAGACUCCUACGGGAGGCAGCAGUGGGGAAUAUUGCGCAAUGGGCGAAAGCCUGACGCAGCGACGCCGCGUGUGGGAUGACGGCCUCGGUUGUAA